UACGAGGAAUCUGGACGACCUCAAAGAACAACUCCCAAAAGGGAACUGGAAAAGAAAGAGUGACGGAGAAUCGGGGAACAUGAAGAAAAAGGUUAAACUGUCCAGGGAAUCCCAGCCAUUGGAAGAAAACCAGAGACAAACCAGAUCGAAAAGAAAAGCUACCGGAGACACACUAGAGGCUUCUCCUAAAAUCAUCCCCAAGUGUGUUUCUGAAAAUGAGAGUGCAAAGCCCUCACAGAAGAAAUCCAAAGUUAAAAUAAAUUGGUUAAAGCCGGCCACUAAGCAGCCCAGCAUUCUUUCCAAGUUCUGUAGUCUUGGGAAAAUAACAACCAACCAGCGCUCCAAAGGGCAACCUAAAGUAAACGAGGGUGACCUUGAGGAGGAUUUGGAGAAGGAUGGACGCGACAACACAGUUAAUGGUAGUGGACCCGCAUCUCCAGGAAGUAGCGUCACACCUGUGGACAGUAGUGAAGCUAAGUCCAUAAACAAAGUUUCUCCAGAGCCAAAAACAGAAAUGAAGACCCUGAGAUGGGCAAUUUCACAGUUUGCUUCAGUGGAGAGAAUUGUAGGAGAGGAUAAAUAUUUCUGUGAAAAUUGCCAUCAUUAUACGGAAGCAGAGCGAAGUCUCUUGUUUGAUAAAAUGCCUGAAGUUAUCACUAUUCAUCUGAAGUGCUUUGCUGCUAGUGGCUUGGA
rnacentral:lncRNA from 1 species